AACGAACGCUGGCGGCAGGCCUAACACAUGCAAGUCGAGCGAGGACUUCGGUCCUAGCGGCGGACGGGUGAGUAACGCGUGGGAACGUGCCCUUUGCUUCGGAAUAGCCCUGGGAAACUGGGAGUAAUACCGGAUGAGCCCUUUGGGGGAAAGAUUUAUCGGCGAAGGAUCGGCCCGCGUUGGAUUAGGUAGUUGGUGGGGUAAUGGCCUACCAAGCCGACGAUCCAUAGCUGGUUGGAGAGGAUGAUCAGCCACACUGGGACUGAGACACGGCCCAGACUCCUACGAGAGGCAGCAGUGGGGAAUCUUAGACAAGGGGGGAAACCCUGAUCUAGCCAUGCCGCGUGAGCGAUGAAGGCCUUAGGGUUGUAAAGCUCUUUCAGCUGGGAAGAUAAUGACGGAACCAGCAGAAGAAGCCCCGGCUAACUCCGU
rnacentral:rRNA from 1 species